UAAUCUGCACAUUUUCCCUUUUUGGAGUUCGGGGGCUAAUCUGCACACCGUUCAUUAAAAAAAAUCACAUCUCAUCUUCUCUGACCAACUUUUCCGGCGUCAAUCGCCGUCAGAUGAGGAAAAUCACGAAAUCAAGUUCCCAAGCCCCAAAUCGGGAAUUCCAAAUCGGCGUCAUUGCUCCCGAAAAUCACAUAAUCGAAAUGGAAACUCGAAUUCUCCCUCGAACGUCACCGCCCCCCAAUUGCAGAAUCACCCCCAACGAAUCGAACUUCGCCUCGCUGUAGGCGGUGAUCGUGACCCCAAUCGAGAUCGAGAUCAUGUUGGCCAUGGUCUCUGAUUUGAAGGUGUCCUUCUUCAACAACACGCCGAUAGUGUAGAUGGCGACGGGCAUCGUCGGCCUUUAUCACCGGAUUUCGCCGGAUUUGAGAGAAAGAGGCGACUCCUUAUCGAGAAAAGUUAGGCGACUCCUCAUCGAGAAAAGCCAGGCGGCGGGUUCACCGGAUAUUGCGGCGGCGAUUUUCGACGAAAUGGGAGAAUUAGGGCUCGUCCUUGACGCUAAGCAUGUGCAGUCGAGCGAGCUCCGAGGUUUAAGGCCCAAGAGAGAAAGAAAGGGGCAGCGCCCUCCGCCGGCCUCGCCGGAGCUUGAAUCAGCGACAACGACGAUCAAAUUUUGAGCGAGAGAGAUGAAUUAAUUAAAAAGUUAAAAGGUGCAGAUUAGCCCCUGAACUCCGAAAAAAUGGUGCAGAUCGCCCCCUUGACUAACGGCCCAUAACGGUGUUAAGUCAGAGGGGCCGAUCUGCACCGUUUUUUUGAGUUCGGGGGCCAAUUUGCACACACAGUUAGUAAGGGGACUGAAACGCUCUAAGGGCCUCCACUUGAGGGGCCUAUCUGCACCUUAACCCUAAUUUAAAAUGAUCCAUUACUGACACAGGAAACUGACUAGAAGCAUCUUCCUUGAUGAUAUUUCAGGUGAUUUGGAAGAUGUAUUCACUUAGUUUCAUUGUAAGACUGAGGAAUGACCGAAUGAGCAUGAAAGAUAUGCCUUUCAACCAUGGGUAUGGUAAAAGUAUAUUUCUAAAUACUCAGGAACCUAGCACAUCUGAACAUUUUAAUGGGUGAUAAUCAUGUCAUAGAAGGAAAUGCUAGGCAACUCUAAUACCAGAAAGGCAGAAUAGGCCACUUUUUGAGGUUGAGAUGUUUUACUGGAAGAAAUGUCAUUGACAUGAAUUGAUCAAAGAAAAAAUAAAAUGAUUUUUGUAGCACAGCGUCAAAUAACCCCGGCUACAAUGCAUUACAAUUGGCCAGCAUUAAUUUAGGUUGCUGGGGCCAACAUAAGUUACACAGCCAAAGAAGCAUAUGGGAGAUGAGGGAGGUCAGCUCCUAUAAACAUAACUGGGGCUUGUAGUCUCGCACUAGCUAAAUCAAAAUGAGUGUUAAGGGGAUAAAAGGAGAACAUACAUAACAUUCACAUCUUAAAUUUUAGUCAAAAUCUCUCUUCUUUUCACUCUAGGUACAUUAUACAUGCUUGGCACCUCUUGUUGAACUAUUAUGGAUCUAACCAGGGAACUAGUGCACUAGAAAGUAACCGAGCAACUUUGGUGGUUUGCUCCCAAUCAGCAAGUCAUGGGUUAGUCAGAUGACACAACUAAUCUCUGCAACAUCUAUAGUACCUCCAAUUCCAAAGCUCCUUUGCUACGCGUGACAAAAUCCAUAUUGAAAAUAAAAUAUUAAAAGGAUUACUAUACUAGAUCAUAUGAAGUUAUAAACAAUCAAUGCAUGUUGGUAUCGACUUAAAAGAGUGAGUGUACCUUGAGAUCAUCCUCAAUCUUGGCAAUUUGAACAUGAAUUCCGUCCACAAUCUCCUUCAGCGGUGACAUUGUGGGAUACUUUGCCUCAUCCCACAUGAAUCUGCAGAAAG